UAAAGCUUAAUUAUUAAAUUACCUAUAAUUCCUUACACCACCUCUAACCCUUCAUUACUACUGAAUUAUUUUAUAAAAUUAUAAAAAAUAUUAUGCUAGAACUAGUAACAAGAAAUUGAUUUUCUCCAAAAUGUAAAUGUAAGCCAAAAUGGACUAACCAUUGACAAUUAACGUCUAUGACCAAAUUAUAGUAUCCAUGACCAGAAUACCCUAUAACCCUCAAACGUUAACCUUACACCAGAACAUUCCAGGAAAGAUUAAAAGAGAAAGAAGGAACUCGGCAAAUCAUAGCCCCGCCUGUUUACCAAAAACAUCGCCUCUUGAUAAAUUAUAAGAGGUCCAGCCUGCCCAGUGACAAAGUUCAACGGCCGCGGUACCCUAACCGUGCGAAGGUAGCAUAAUCACUUGUUCUUUAAAUAAGGACUUGUAUCAAAGGCACCACGAGGGCUACACUGUCUCCUUUCUCCAAUCAGUGAAACUGAUCUUCCCGUGAAGAAGCGGGAAUUUAUUUAUAAGACGAGAAGACCCCAUGGAGCUUUAAACCCAUCAUACACCUCUGUUUAUUCACGCCAUGAUAACCUAAAAGACUUGUAUGCUGGUUUUAGGUUGGGGGGACCACGGAGUAUAACUUAACCUCCACGACAAAUGGGCCAAGCCCUUAUUUGAGAACCACAAUUCUAGAAAUCAAUAAACUGAUGUUUAAUGACCCGAACUAUCGAUCAACGAACCAAGUUACCCUGGGGAUAACAGCGCAAUCUACUUUAAGAGCCCCUAUCGACAAGUAGGUUUACGACCUCGAUGUUGGAUCAGGGUAUCCCAGUGGUGCAGCCGCUACUAAAGGUUCGUUUGUUCAACGAUUAAAACC
rnacentral:rRNA from 1 species